AGAUCUGUUUCUUUUCCUGCGCAUUUUAGGUACCUGUGUGUUCUUUGAAAGCAGAUCCUAGAGCACAGUCCUUGGCCUCCAGGUCGCAUUCAUUGACUGCAGGAGUGGCAGGAGGACACCAGGACACGAAAAGACAGGAAAUGGUGAAUGCUGUUGAGCGUCCCAGGUGUGGGAGGAGGCAGCUGCAACCUGGAGGCGGUAGAGCGGAAUUAACGGUCAUGCUGUGGUUAAGAACUCCAUAUGACUAGGCGCCUGCACAACCUGGCUCAAUUUCUCAUAAACCUCAAGUCAUGAGCUAAACCUCAGCUGCAGUUAAGGUGGGGAAAACGACUGGAUGCAGGAUAGCUUAGAGUCAUGGCUCUCUAGUCUUUUGUAAGGGGGUGGGGAGUUGGACUUUUCCAGACAGGGUUUCUCUGUGUAGUUCUUCUGGCUGUCCUGGAACCCACAUUGUGAACCAGGCUGAUCUCAGACUCAGAAGUCUCUCUGCCUCUCCAGAGCUGGGAGUAAAGGCUUGCACCACCACACCCAGCUUCAGGGCUCAAGUGUCUAUCUGUUCCUUCUCCGAUGCUUUUUCACACUGCCCGUGCUUAGCGUAGGUCUGCCUGUGGUUAUAGAUUAUGCCUUAGGUUAUAGCUGCCUGAGGCUUGAUAUUAUAAUUCACCCAGUGAAUCUCUUCUCAGCUCCCUUUCUGUCAAACCUAUAACAUCAUUCAUCUUACAGUGACCACAAGAGCCUUGAGCCCGUUAUGUCAGGCAACAGACAGACACGUUUGUGUUAUUGAAGCUGGCAUUCCCAACCUGUGCCCCAAGUCAGGCCCAGCCCCCUGUUCUCAGUAAGCCAAUAAAGAAGAGCCAAAUAUUGGUGAAAAGCAGAAAA
rnacentral:lncRNA from 1 species